rnacentral:rRNA from 1 species
GACGAACGCUGGCGGCGUGCUUAACACAUGCAAGUCGAACGGUGAAGCGCCUUCCUUUUUGGUGGGUGUGGAUGAGUGGCGAACGGGUGAGUAACACGUGAGUAACCUGCCCCCUUCUUCUGGAUAACCGCAUGAAAGUGUGGCUAAUACGGGAUAUUCUGGGUCUGUCGCAUGAUGGGUCUGGGAAAGAUAUUGUUUCGGUGGGGGAUGGGCUCGCGGCCUAUCAGCUUGUUGGUGGGGUGAUGGCCUACCAAGGCGGUGACGGGUAGCCGGCCUGAGAGGGUGGACGGUCACACUGGGACUGAGACACGGCCCAGACUCCUACGGGAGGCAGCAGUGGGGAAUAUUGCACAAUGGGCGCAAGCCUGAUGCAGCGACGCCGCGUGAGGGAUGGAGGCCUUCGGGUUGUGAACCUCUUUCGCCAGUGAAGCAGGCCUGCCUCGUUUGUGGCUGGGUUGACGGUAGCUGGAUAAGAAGCGCCGGCUAACUACGUG